GCCCAUGUAGUAAAGUUACCGCUUCCAGUCAGUACCGCAGAGUACCAACAGAUGGCGCUCUCUGUCAUGUCUCUGACUCGGUCCUCCAUGCUGCCUGUGACUGAGAGCGUCUCACAGCACGCUGUUUGAUUCAAAGAAUGGUCUGGGCCCCGGCACCACAGCCUCCUGCGAGCCCCUUGACAGUAGCCUGGCCUGAGAGGAGAACAAUGAGUAAAAGAAAAGGAGACGAGAAACAAACUUCCAAAUUGGCAAUCUACAGUGAGGGCCGCUCUGUGAAGGGGGCCUGCGUCUAUCAGCUGCUGAUGCAGUGCAUUUGGAGCUCACUCGGAUUCAGUUAACAAGGCGGCUCUGCAUGCAGUCAGUCAGGUGGAAAAGAUCCUGGAAAAGUUUGGAGAUCAAAUGAGAUGGAUGCAGACUUACAAGUGAACAGAAACACAGGUUUAAACUCCCAGCUCCAAACACACUUCUCUGGCUGGGGCGAUGGUCAUCCUCUCAGGCCAUUAUUGACACUGUGUGUGAACCCAUCUCUCUGCAAAUCUGCAGAUAAAUCUUCCUGUGUUUCGGACUCACUUUUUAUGGCCAGUGGGACACGUCCUGGUCCAACCCCCAACAUCCCUCUAGCAUCACAGGCUAACGUGAUUGGAACCACUUGUAGAUGAGUGUGUAUCCUCUGGGCUGUACUUUAUUGUUUUUAUUUGAGGCAGAUGCAUGAGAGGAGAUUUGACUGACACCCAAUAAGCUCAACUCACCUCGUCUAACCUGUAGGCCCCUCCUUAACUCCAAUGCAGCACCACGUUCACUCUAGACUAAUUGGUAGCACUCUCCAUUUUAGGCCACCAACUCUUUGUGGUAUUAACUUCUAUCUCCUAAUAAAAACUGUGAGGAUGAGGAAAAGCCAGCAUGAUUAGGGGAGUAGAAUUUUGGUUAAUGUUCAUUUGUGUUUAAGAGAUAGUUCAUCCAAAAAUUACAAUUCUGCCAUUGUUUACUCGUGUCGUUCCAAACAUGUAUGACCUUUUUUUUGGUCCAUAAAAUCAAAGUCAGUGUGGUCCUACACUCUUAAAAAUAAAGGUUCUAAAAGGGGGUUUUCACAGAUGCCAAUCAUAGAAGAACUAGUUUUGGUUCCUCAAAGAACUUUUCAGUGAACAGUUUUUAAAAGAACCAUUUAGUGUGAAGAACAUUUUAAUAAUCGAAAGAACCAUUUUCCACUGUAAAGAACCUUUUGUGGAAUGAAAAGGUUCCAUGGAUGGUAAAGGUUCUUUGUGGAACCAUUAAAGAACCUUUAUUUUUAAGAGUGUAUGUAAACAAAUACAAUACAAUUUGAAGUUUACAUUAAUCAGUGCACAUGCAUAUGUUACAUGGAAGCCCAAAUUCUGCUUGCUUGACUUGCAAGAACCAGUGAAGUUUCUUCUCUCAUGUUAAGCAACAUUUGAACUUUUACUUAGCAUAUUUGGUGUGCUCUAUGUCUGUGAAUUUAUCAACGUUUAUUUGGGAAUAAAAGCCUACUUUAAUCUUGUUUAUCAUAUAAUGCAACCGUGCCACUUCAGAAGACUUGGAAUAAACUGCUUGAUUAAUAUGGAUACAUUUUUCAAUGUCUUUUUUGACUUUUGGAGGUAUGGACUUUGAGUUGAGGGACAGAAAUCACUCAGAUUAAAAAUAUUAUCAUUCGUGUGCCAAAGAUAAAAUAAAGUCUUGUGGGCGUGAAACACCUUGAGGAUGACUAAAUUAUGACAAAAUUGUUAUUUUUGGGUGAACUAUGCAUUUAACCCUGGGACAUGUUUCAAUUUUCGGUCGAGUGUUUACACUGAAUAUCGAAUUGUAUGGACAUGUAUGACACAUGCACCGAUGACUGCUUUGUGAUGCUCCACCUGAGCUGCAAAGGACAUCACAGAGCUGAGACAUCUUGAAACUUUUGUUGUACAAUUACCUUGUGUUCUGCUUGCUUAUCCACAUUGUUUCGACAUUGUCUUUUGUUGUUUUUAUUGCAUUUUCCUACUACUCUGAGUAGUGCUGCCACCUUGUGGACCCACCAAUUUGUGCAGUCAAUUCCAGGCAUGACCACAAAUAAAGUUUAACAUAUUAACAUAAACCCUGAUUAUUUUCAAAAGUAUAAAGGAAAAUGCAAUAACUAGUCAGUAAGACAUAUAUUAUUUUGAAAGAUUUUAAUAUAAUUAUUUAGUAAGAAUAUGCUAAAUUGACGAAAUGUGAUGGUAAAUACAUUUAGAAUGUUACAAAUGAUUUCUAUUUCUAAUAAAUGCUGUUCUUUUGAAAGC